AACAGGCUUUGUUCUGUUAUUCGCAACAACAUGGAUGGAACUAGAGGUCAUCGCAAUGAGUAAGAUAAGCCAGGCACCCGGAGCAACCAAUGAGAGUUUCCACAACAGCCAUGGGCAGUCUGCUCAAGUUCACAGGAGGAAUUUUCCACGUGUCAGUGAGCGAGCAUGGAGAAUCUGUGCAGGUGGCCCACACCACAUGUGAGUUCAUCACCAUCACAGGUUGGACUACGCAGAUCUAAGCUAUGUUUAAACCGACACGCAGCACAAGACACACAUUCGAUGAAAAUAAUAGGGAAAGAAAGGCGGCGGUGUCAGAAGACGGUUGUCAGGUGGACCCUGCUGUGAACAUUUCGCUGUGUAACCGAAACACCACACUCGCUGUCUUAAGACUAAAAUGGACAUAGAAAGUCCUGUCAGUGUUCUCAGAAAACUGUAUGUGAGGCCGUCUCUCCAAACAAUAAAAAUCGAGUAUCCAGACCAGGUACACAGAGAAAGCAGACUAGUGAAGGCACCAGAAAGUAAUUGUCUCUUCCCAUCGCUUCCCCUCUCCUCUUCUCUCUCCCUUUGUUUCCGCUAACAGGGUCUCAGGGAACCCAGGCUGGCUUAGAACUUUCUGUCUAGCCUGACUGUCCUGAAUUCUGAGGCUACCCACAUGCUCCUCCACACCCAGUCCAUACAGCGCUGGGGACUGAACCCAGGGCUUUCUGCAAGUCAGGUAAGUGCUUUACCAAUUGAGCUACAGCUGCACACCAUUUACACCUCCUAAGCUUGCUUCUCAAUGAGCACGUGCUGGUUUAGUGAUCAGAAAUACCACAACCCUAUCUUCAGGAGAGAACACGUCUGUUGGUCAUUCCUUGACCCUCCUGGUGGAGCAGCCCCUACUCCAUUUUC